AAUCUGAAAAGCCCUGGAGAAAUAGCACUCUCUUGUAAUCCCAGUGACUGGGGAGGCUGAGGCAGGAGGAU
rnacentral:miRNA from 1 species